GAUGAACGCUGGCGGCAGGCCUAAUACAUGCCAGUCGAGCGGCAACACGAGGAGCUCGCUCCCCUGACGGUAGCGGGGGACGGGUGAGUGACACAUGGAUAACCCUCCUAUUAGACUGGGAUAACUUCGGGAAAAAGGAGACAAUACCGCCUAAUAUAUUGUACCGCAGGGUUCAAUAGUGAUUGACGCUUUUGCUGUCAGUUAUAGACGGAUCCGCGCCGCAUUAGCUAGUUGGUAAGGUAACGGCUUACCAAGGCAACGAUGCGUAGCUGAGCUGAGAGGAUGAUCAGCCACACUGGAACUGAGACACGGUCCAGACUCCUACGGGAGGCAGCAGUGGGGAAUCUUCCACAAUGGGCGAAAGCUUGACGGAGCCACGCCGCGUGGGUGAUGAAGGUCUUCGGAUCGUAAAACUCUGUUAUUAGGAAAGAACAAAUGUGUAAGUAACUAUGCACGUCUUGACGGUACCUAAUCAGAAAGCAACGGCUAACUACGUG
rnacentral:rRNA from 1 species